CCUUAUAAAGAAGAAGAAGAAGAAGACGAAGAAGAAGACGAAGAAACAGAAGAGGACGCAGAUACUCUUCUUCGUCUCUCCCUUUUCUUCUUUUCUCCCUCUCUUCUCUCCGUCCUUCCGUCUCUCCGUCUCCCCGUCAAGUCCCCUUCGAUUCUAUCCU
rnacentral:miRNA from 1 species